rnacentral:rRNA from 1 species
UACGUAGGCAGCAAGCGUUGUUCGGAGUUACUGGGCGUAAAGAGUGCGUAGGCGGUCCUUUAAGUUUGGUGUGAAAUCUCCCGGCUCAACUGGGAGGGUGCGCCGAAAACUGGAGGGCUUGAGUGUGGGAGAGGCAAGCGGAAUUCCCGGUGUAGCGGUGAAAUGCGUAGAUAUCAGGAGGAACACCGAUGGCGAAGGCAGCUCGCUGGGACGGUACUGACGCUGAGGCGCGAAAGCGUGGGGAGCAAACAGG